GGCGUGGUAGCCAAGUGGUAAGGCGGGAGUCUGCAAAACUCUUACUCACCGGUUCGAAUCCGGUCCACGCCU
rnacentral:tRNA from 1 species